CGCCAGUCCCGAGGAGGUGGGGACGCCGCCGAAGGGAACGUAAAAGAGCGCACCGAACCAGGAAGUGCCGCGCCACUACAGUUCCGGGAGAAAAAGAACGUCUGCGCCUAUCAGCGAAUCUUUAGCAUUAGGAUGAAGAAUGAAGCGGGCGGAAGAGAAUCCAGGGUGAUUUGGAGCUGAAACCGCAUUCUUGUUCUCAGGCAUGUCUGUCAUCAUGCAGUAGUGAUUAAGUAUGUGUGCAAGUGGGCACAGCCAUGAUAAUGAAGGAAGCCAUGAUAAUGCAAGUUGAGAAAUUCCAGGAGCUUUGCCUGUGGUGGACAGAGUUUGAGGAGGGGAAGGAGCACAUACAGGGAUGUGAUAUUGUAGAGUCAACUCUCUGAAGCUGCCAUUUGCUCCAGGAAACUCAUCUCUGUAAUCUGGAGAUUAGUCAAUGGUAGCUUGGAAAGCUUAUGGACUACCUGUGAUGAAAGAAGUCAUAAUUCCGUAACUAAAUUGUAAAAUUCUAAUUACCUUCUGCCCGUCCCCAACCAGACACUUUGCACCGGUGACCUGAAGUGAACAUAUAAGGUGACCAAGGGACGCAUGCUGCCAUCGUGUUAGGUGGAGAACAUGGCUGCCCUGAAUCCCUGCUUUUCAUUUCCAGCAAUGCAAUGUCGUUUUCAUAUGUUUUAGAAUUAUAGUUCUCAUGGAUUAUCACUCUUCUUAAUGUAAAGGUUUCCAUCCCGGAAUUCUUAAGUAUUGUAUUUAACAUUCCAGUCCAUAUUCUAUAGGCAUGAACAUAGCUUUGUCUGAAAAAAAAAAGUACAAAUAAAAAUGUAAACCUUG